ACGUCAGCCACACAAAGUCAGGUAACUCACCGCAGAGAAUUCUAUAUACGUGGAAGCAGAUUAAAGCCGGAAAGGCUCAUCAAUGCAAGAAAAUCUACUCAUCUGACAGAAUCCGGAUCUGGGGUGCAAAUUGAUGCCCAAUUUGCUCUGCACUACUGGAAGCAGAUUGGCAGGAAAGGGCUACUAGCAAGGGAGGGGAACAGCAUCCAAACACACAAGACUCCCCUCUUUCUCUCUCUCAGGCCCACUGAGUGCAGCACGUGGUUGCCGAGACCUGAUGAACUGCCGCUGCCAGCUGAAUUCUGAAAUCCAGAAGCAGAGAUAAACUCCAUGAUCAACCACUACUUGCAAAGAAAAAUAAAUAAAAUAAAUAUACAAUACAUAUAAUAUAACUCAUCUCCAAUCUACAGUGGUAUUCUCUCACUUAGCUGUUGCUAGCUGUCUCCUUUCCGCCCCCAUCAUGUGACCUCCAUCCUUGUUCCUACCCUUUUUCCCUUUAAGAACUCACUCAUCAGACUUCUAACUAACCGAGUAAUUAAUCAACCACAAUCCAUCCUUAACAUGGGCCAACUACGACCUUCUUGAGCUUAAAACACAUCACAGAGUAGUAGUACAGUCGGGCUACCAAAGCAUCAGUGGAGUUAAUGAGCAA
rnacentral:lncRNA from 1 species